rnacentral:rRNA from 1 species
UACGGAGGAUGCAAGCGUUAUCCGGAAUGAUUGGGCGUAAAGCGUCCGCAGGUGGCUAUGUAAGUCUGCUGUUAAAGAGUGAGGCUCAACCUCAUAAGAGCAGUGGAAACUACAUGGCUAGAGUGCGUUCGGGGCAGAGGGAAUUCCUGGUGUAGCGGUGAAAUGCGUAGAUAUCAGGAAGAACACCGGUGGCGAAAGCGCUCUGCUAGGCCGCAACUGACACUGAGGGACGAAAGCUAGGGGAGCGAAUGG